AACUAAGUUUGUUAUUGGUAUGAGCUUUUGUGUGCAUGCACACUUCUUCAGAUACAGUGAAACAGAAGUCACCAGACCCUUAUAUAUAGUGAGAGGGUGGGGAGGGGUAUUACUCAGAAGGGCGGUGGGAAUGGGUGAUUGGCUGGUAGGUGUGCUAAACUUCUGGUAGGUGUGGUGACUUCAGUUUCAGUGUAUCUGAAGAAGUGUGCAUGCACACGAAAGCUCAUACCAGUAACAAACUUGGUU